rnacentral:rRNA from 1 species
UACUAGAGUAGCACUCGCAUAUCAAUAAGCGGAGGAAAAGAAACUAACAAGGAUUCCCCUAGUAACGGCGAGUGAAGCGGGAAGAGCUCAAAUUUGAAAUCUUAAAGAGUUUCCCUUUACGAAUUGUAGUUUAAAGAAGUGUUUUCUGUUGAGGUUUUGGUAAAAGUUCUUUGGAAUAGGACAUCAUAGAGGGUGAGAAUCCCGUAUUUGACCUUUACUUUCAACUUUGUGAUACACUUUCAAAGAGUCGGAUUGUUUGGGAAUGCAGUCCAAAAUGGGUGGUAAAUUUCAUCUAAAGCUAAAUAUUGGCGAGAGACCGAUAGCGAACAAGUACCGUGAGGGAAAGAUGAAAAGAACUUUGAAAAGAGAGUUAAACAGUACGUGAAAUUGUCAAAAGGGAAGCGUUUGACACCAGUGUUGUUUUUCUGAAAAUCAAUUAAAGAACUGUUUAUGCUAAGCUGUUUAGACUUUAUCAGCUAUCUGUUUAGUUUUGAGCUUUUCUUUAAUGCACUUUUCAGUUAACAAGUCAACACCAAUUUCUUUUGCUGUAAAAAAGCUUGAGGAAGGUGGCUUGAGAUUCGUCUUAAGUGUUUAUAGCCUCUUGCCUAUGCAGUCGGAGAGAUUGAGGUCUGCAGCGUAGAUCCUUCGGGGCUAAAUGCAUUUGUGCUAAGUUAUAGCAUUUUAUAGACAACUUGUUGACUAUGAUUUGUCUUGUAGCUUACUCGCUUAUGUUAUUUUACCUACGCUUAGGAUGUUGAGUCAUCACACAUCUCU